rnacentral:lncRNA from 1 species
GAGUAGCGCGGGCCUGUAAUCCAAUAUGACCGAUGUUCUUAUGAGAAGAAACACAGAGUCAGGCACACUGGGAAAAUGCCAUGUGACAACGGAGGCAGAGAUGGAAGUGAUCCGCCUGCGGGCCAAGGAACACCAGGGAUUGCUGGCAACACCAGAAGCUAAGAGGAAACCAUGGAGCAGCUUCUCCCCUGGAGCCUUGAUUCCAGAUUUCUAGCAUCCAGAACUAUGAGACAAUACAUGUCUGUUGUGUAAAGCCUCCCAGCUUGUGAGACUAGUUACGGCAACUCUAGAAAAUGCAGCAGCCAAUAUGGUGGUACCAGCUCAGAUUGAUUCUUUAUGAUCCCCAAAUCUCCCCUGGAUAGAAGAUGCUUGUGUUUCAAUUGAUCCCACCAAAAUGGAAAAUCGUUUUGGUUGAGGCUGCUCUGCUGUUGCUUGGCUACUGUCUCUAAACUCACUAUCUUCUAGGAACAAGGAUGACAUGCUACUCAAGACGAAACAAAUGACUCAACAGCAGGCAGGAACUAAAAUAGGAUACGAAAGGUGGAGGUGCCAUCUUGCCACCUGGAAAACAAAAUCCAUGAGCCAAAGGAGAUGGAACAGAAGGAUGAAAGGAGCCAGGCUCUUGAUCACUCCCUUGAACAACUUCACCAGCCCUGGUCCAUCUAUCCCUGGAAAAAAUAAUUAUUAUUAUAACCCUAUCUGAAUCAAAAGAGAAGAAAAUUGGCAUAAAGGUAGAUAAAUAGAGC